rnacentral:rRNA from 1 species
GAUGAACGCUGGCGGCGUGCUUAACACAUGCAAGUCGAACGGAAAGGCUCCUGCUUGCAGGGGUACUCGAGUGGCGAACGGGUGAGUAACACGUGGGUGAUCUACCCUGCACUUCGGGAUAAGCCUGGGAAACUGGGUCUAAUACCGGAUAGGACGAUGGUUUGGAUGCCAUUGUGGAAAGUUUUUCGGUGUGGGAUGAGCUCGCGGCCUAUCAGCUUGUUGGUGGGGUAAUGGCCUACCAAGGCGUCGACGGGUAGCCGGCCUGAGAGGGUGUACGGCCACAUUGGGACUGAGAUACGGCCCAGACUCCUACGGGAGGCAGCAGUGGGGAAUAUUGCACAAUGGGCGCAAGCCUGAUGCAGCGACGCCGCGUGGGGGAUGACGGCCUUCGGGUUGUAAACUCCUUUCGCUAGGGACGAAGCGUUUUGUGACGGUACCUGGAGAAGAAGCACCGGCUAACUACGUG